GACGAACGCUGGCGGCGUGCUUAACACAUGCAAGUCGAACGGAAAGGCCCUGCUUUUGUGGGGUGCUCGAGUGGCGAACGGGUGAGUAACACGUGAGUAACCUGCCCUUGACUUUGGGAUAACUUCAGGAAACUGGGGCUAAUACCGGAUUGGAGCUCCUGCUGCAUGGUGGGGGUUGGACAGUUUCGGCGGUUGGGGACGGUCUCGGGGCUUAUCAGCUUGUUGGUGGGGUAGUGGCUUACCAAGGGUUUGGCGGGUAGCCGGCCUGGGUGGGGGACCGGCCACAGUGGGACUGAGGGAGGGCGCAGACGCGUACUGUAGGCAGCAGUGGGGACUAUGGUACAAUGGUCGGAAGCCUGAGACAGCAACCCCGGGUUUGGGAUGACGUCCUGCGGGUUGUAAACCGGUGGCGCCUGUGAUGAAGCGUGAGUGACGGUAACGGGUAAAGAAGCACCGGCUAACUACGUG
rnacentral:rRNA from 1 species